AAAAAGGGCUAUGGAACUGGCUGCAGCAGUUAUUAUUAAGGCCUACGGCAGGAGGGGGAACCUCUGCAGACACCCCACCACCACCUUCAGCAGGGUUUAAGAGGCUUUAUCCCACUGGGGUAUUUUCUGACUGAAAGCAGGAGAUGCAAAAGUUUGCUGAGUGAACAAUCUUGCUUUCAGAAGCCCAAGAUGUAUGGUCAGCCUGGGAAUGAGGGUGCCUGGUGUUGUCAGGGUAUACUUCUCACUCCACUGAAGAUGAUCGGCGAUUAGUUAUUGCAAUGAACAACUACAAUAGGAUUGU